GAAAGUAUAACUCAAUUAGGAUAGAGUGUCCACCUUUUAAGCGGAAAGCUGCUGGUUCGAAUCCAGUUAUUUUCA
rfam:Phlebia centrifuga strain FBCC195 PHLCENscaffold_2975, whole genome shotgun sequence.